GGAGUAACGCUUGCCGUGAGAAGUCAGCCGAGGCCAUAGUAGUCGGCUGUCGACAAGUCGAUAAAGGGC
rfam:Prevotella multisaccharivorax DSM 17128 genomic scaffold scaffold_3, whole genome shotgun sequence.